CAAUUUGUUUCGGACCUAACCUAAACCCGGCCCAUUAUACCGCUGACAGCAGCCUAAACCUGAAUAGAGAGAGAGAGAGAGAGAUUGAAGGAUCAGUUAAGCGCAUGGAAAUUAUUUUGUUGGUGUAAUUUUCGAUUCUUAGUUUUUUAAUAGCAUCAUCAGGUGAUAGAGUAUGGAAGAUAUGAAUUCUGAUCAGGUAUUUGAAAUACCUGACACUCCAGAGAGAGCAGCUGCAAGGAGUAUAAAUGGUGCACAAUUCAGAAAAGAAAGUAUUUCGUCAGUUCCUGGUUGUCUAAGAAAGUCUGGCUUUGUGGAUGAAAAGAGUUUUAAUCCGCCGCGGACAAGCAGGGGUAGGAUUUUUAGUGAAAAUGGGCUCAAUAGAAGACUUCAUUUGCUUCCUCAAAAGAGUCCCAUUAAUGUUGAUGAAUAUGAUUCUCCAAGUAAUUCUGCUUUGGAUUCCCAUCCCCACCAGAAUGCGCCUUUAUUUAGAAGGCCAGCAAUAGUUAAUAACUCCAGGCCUGAGAAUAGGCAUUCUAAAGGAGCACAGUAUAUGGAAAAAUCAAAAGCUGGCCGUGCUACAAGUUCCUCUAAAAAACCAUUUUGCAUGGAAGGUGAUGAUCUUUUUGAUUUAACUGAGAUGAGUGAGCCUGACAGAUUACUCGACUUUGUUUUUCCUCACAGUGCAUCAAAAGAUCUCCAAGCUAAAGAGACAAGAGAAGGUCAAUUAUCAUCUAAUGGUGGCUCUUCUGUACAGCUGGCUCCCCUUCCUUCAAGAAUAUCUGGCAGCACCUCUAAGGGAAAGGAAAAAAUAGAUGUGAAUACAUGUAAUGGUUCUGGUUCAGCUUCAAAUAAUGUGAAAGAGAUUGAUCAUGCUAGUGGUCAUCAACACAAAAUCGAAAAGCAGCUUCCUGCUUGUCAUCUAUCUGUUACCUCACCAAGAGUUGGUGGGAAAAAGAGAUUAGUGCGAAAUGGAUGUAUUUCUCCACAUAAUAUAGCCACUAGAGCCCAAAAAUUAGCUGAAAGUUCCCAGGAUGGCUCCCCAGGUGACGAAAGAAAUCAUGCCAGGAACAAGUUGUCUGAUGGUCCACCUAACAUAGAUCUUAGGGAAAUAGUUGCUGAAGACAAUGAUUGUUAUAGAGCUAAAGGAAAAAAGGCAAUAGUCCAUCCUUCUGCAUCAAAGGAGCAUGAUGCCAACAUGACCAGAAGUUCUGCGACUAAUAAUAAAGCAUCCCGUGAAUCCAGGGAUGGCUGUAGAGAUGCAUUAUUUGGUGGCUGGAGAAGUACACACAAAAGAUCGAAGACACAAGAUCAGCCACUGUCUUAUAUGGAACAGGGUAUUUUGGGAAGAGAUGAUCAUGCCAGAUGCUCUACAAAUGAACAUGAUGACAGACUAGUGGAAAGAGAUAGCAGCAGUGGUGGAAAACUACAUCAUGUUGGGAAUCUAGUUGCUACGUAUGGAUUAACUUCAAGAAAUCAAGGUGAAUGCUCUACAAUAGUUCCUGAUGACACAGAAGUUUUGUUUCUUGGUUCAUCUCGGGAAUCAUCUAGCUCAAGGUCAUCUAGAGUCCACAAUCAUCAACAUGAUGGCAAUCUAGAACCAAUUUAUGAAAUUGAUGAGUUGUUGACUGAAGUGAGAAACAAUGAUCCUCAAUUAAUAGGUUUCAGAAGUAAUGAGGACUCAGAUGUUACGGCAAGGCAAGUGGAAGCUGAUGAGAUGUUGGCUCGGGAACUACAAGAACGAUUAUAUCAUGAGGAACCAACAUUUGGAGGUGGCGAGAUUGAUGAAAAUAUAGCAUGGGUCCUGCAGCAGGAGGAAGAUGCACUCCCUGCUACAUCUGGUCACAAUCAUCCUGUUCCACAUCUUAGAAACUCAUUGGUAGCACAUUCAUCAAGACAGCGCUUGCCUCGGUCCUCUCAUAACCCUUCAAAUAGGAGAGGAAACCAGGUUCAAGUUACUACUACCCGAGCAUCGGGCUUGAGGAGUCGCUUGUCCAACCGUACUCCUGUAAGAAUAUCAAGAGAGAGGAACCCAUUUCCCACAGUGUUCCCUGGAGGGUUGAAUUUCCAAUUUCCUUCGGGAAUGGAUUUAGAGAUGUUUUUUACUUUGUAUGCCACUACUGGCGGAGCCUCUGUCUGAGGAUGGGUUUGAGAGUCAUGGCUGCCCCAUGAUGCCCCUAUUGAAUUAUCUCCCUUUGCUUCAGACACUCCUGCAAAAAUCUUCUAGCUCUACCACUGCAUGCCACUAGCACCAAGCUUUGAUUGAUGAGGAUUGUGACCAACUAUAUAUGUUGUUUAGUCAUCUGAUUACAUCUUUAUAUGAAAGCCUGGAGGUCACCUGCAUUUUAAGUUUCAGAAGAAAUAACAUAGGAUAAACAUACCUUAAUUCAAUUUCUCUACCUAGUACCAAAAGCCUUACCAGUCACAUUUUUGAGAAAGCGCUAGCAUAAUCAUAAGUCUUCUCAAUAUGCAAUUUGAGCACCUCUCUCCGCCCAGCAUCAUUAAUCAUCUCAUCUGUCACCAAGGCUUCAUCGUGAUCUGAUGGCCUUGAUGUGAGAGCAUGAUUGACUGAUUGACUGGUGCAGAAGCAAGAGAGCGUUGUUUUAUGAUUGACUGCAAGGGAAACAAUGGUGGGAUGCCAGAUGAUUAUUUUAGAGGAGAAUGGGUGUUUAUUAAAAAGGGUUUGGGAGUAAGAAUCAGGAUUUUGGGGGCUGAAUUGAUUGUUUAGUCUGGUGCAAUUUAAUCUAGUUAAUUGGCGGUAAGCAAAGAAUCUAUCAAAAAGAGAGAGAUAGAGAGAAUAUCAUCUGGGCACUCAUGGACUGCAUACAAAUCUUCAAAGCUUCAACCAUAUUCAUCACCUGCACUGAUUCAGGAGUUAUUACUGCAUUAGUUUUGGAUGAGAAAGUAUCUCAAAGACUUAAUAUAUUGGAAAAUUUAGAGGCUUCAAUGACAGCAACCCGCAUGCUUCAUGUUCAGCGUGAUUUUAAUGAGUAAGA